rnacentral:pre_miRNA from 1 species
AGGAGGAACAACCACAGUGAAGGGGGCCAGCUCUUGAGCUCCGGAUUCAGCUCCGGCAGGAACUCCGGAGCUCUCCGUCUGCAGGGCCUGGAGGCUCCGGGGCGGG